UACGGAGGAUCCGAGCGUUAUCCGGAUUUAUUGGGUUUAAAGGGUGCGCAGGCGGAAUAUUAAGUCGGCGGUGAAAGUUUGCAGCUUAACUGUAAAAUUGCCGUUGAAACUGGUUUUCUUGAGUGUAUAUGAAGUAGGCGGAAUUUGUAGUGUAGCGGUGAAAUGCAUAGAUAUUACAAGGAACUCCGAUUGCGAAGGCAGCUUACUAAAAUACAACUGACGCUCAGGCACGAAGGCGUGGGUAUCAAACAGGAUUAGAUACCCUGGUAGUCCCUGA
rnacentral:rRNA from 1 species